rnacentral:rRNA from 1 species
AGAGUUUGAUCAUGGCUCAGGAUGAACGCUGGCGGCGUGCCUAACACAUGCAAGUCGAACGUGAAACUGACCUUGAUUCCUUCGGGAUGAAAAGGUUAGCGGAAAGUGGCGAACGGGUGAGUAACGCGUGGGUAAUCUACCCUGAAGUGGGGGAUAACCCUCCGAAAGGAGGGCUAAUACCGCAUAUGAUCUCCAGGAGGAAGUACCUGGAGAUUAAAGGCGGCCUCUGUCUUAAGCUGUCGCUUCAGGAUGAGCCUGCGUCCUAUUAGUUAGUUGGUAGGGUAAUGGCCUACCAAGACGACGAUGGGUAGCCGGUCUGAGAGGAUGUACGGCCACACUGGGACUGAGAUACGGCCCAGACUCCUACGGGAGGCAGCAGUGGGGAAUCUUGCGCAAUGGGGGAAACCCUGACGCAGCGACGCCGCGUGGACGAUGAAGACCUUCGGGUUGUAAAGUCCUGUUCUGGGGGAAGAAGUCUUAAGGAGCUAAUACCUCCCUAAGUUGACGGUACCCCAGGAGAAAGCUCCGGCUAAUUAUGUGCCAGCAGCCGCGGUAAUACAUAAGGAGCAAGCGUUAUCCGGAAUUAUUGGGCGUAAAGAGCUCGUAGGCGGUCUUAAAAGUCAGGUGUGAAAUGAUCAGGCUCAACCUGAUAAGGUCAUCUGAAACUUUAAGACUUGAGGAUAGGAGAGGAAAGUGGAAUUCCCGGUGUAGCGGUGAAAUGCGUAGAUAUCGGGAGGAAC